GAACCUCCUCCAUGAGUAUCCAUGCACAUUCACGGGCUCUCUGAUCAGCCUCAGAGCCUCGGUCUCUGCUACUUCGUGGCUUGCUUCCUCCUUAACGACGUCGCUGCUUUAUUCUAACAUCUCAGAACUUCUUGCAUUUCUGUCACUUCCUUUUCUUGUACUUUUGUUAUUAUAUAUCCGGUGUCUCAUUGGCUCUGGCGGAAGACGGUUACCGAUUCGGAGUCUCAUUUAAGGAGGAGAAACCGCUCUGAGAGACUUUUCAAGCUUUCUACUCUCAGGAGAAAGAUCAUGGUAGAGAUUAGAAUGAGGAGGAGUUUUCUAUGGAUUCAGAUAAAGAAUUUAGAGUCGCUUCUUGUUCUUCCUUAUCUGAUGGCAAUUCUGAUACCCCUGUUCUAAGAAGAAGAUCUGUUGUAGGGAGGCGGACUGGUCCAACUAAACGUUCAAGAAGAGGAGGCUGGACAGAAAAAGAGGAUAAUGUUCUAUUUGAAGCAAUCAAAAAGUACAAUGGAAAGAAUUGGAAGAAAAUAGCUGCAUAUCUCCCAGGUCGCUCAGAUAUUUAGUGCUUGCACCACUGGCAAAAGGUUCUGAAUCCUAAACUUGUCAAGGGAUCUUGGACAAAGGAGGUGGCACAAUCAUUUAGACCCAGAUAUAAAGAAAGAUGCAUGGACGGAUGAGGAGGAGUCAAUUCUUGGUAAUUACCACCAAAUCUAUGGUAACAGGUGGGCAGAAAUAGCGAGGUUUCUACCUGGAAGCAGGACGGACAAUGCAAUUAAGAAUCAUUGGAAUUGCUCGAUGAAGAAGAAACUCAAUUUACAAUCUAGCGAUGUUUGUCGAUUGGAUAUGAAUCUCUCCUGGUUUCUGCAGUCCUGAAUCAAAACCUACAUCUUCAGAUUUCUUCAGUUCGAAAACUAAAGUUGAAUGCAUGAAGAUUAAUGUAGAGGGAUAGAGGUUUGGAAAAAUCUUCCCUCUUAAUCACAAUAUGGGUUUGGGGAACAGUGUUGACACUUGUCCUACAGAUUUGGUUCUUGGAAAUCCUUAUGGAAGAGAGAUUUGUUCAGUGGCAAAAUCUGUAACUGGUGAAAUUUCAGAAAGAGGGGAAAGUGAACCAUUGGAUCCACUAAAUGGGACACUAUUUGAUGGAACAGGAACUGCUGCAGCUGGUAUCAUCACUAGAUCCUUUGAUGCAUCUUCUUACACUAAACCAUGUUGUAAUUAUGUUGAAGUUCUUCCUGUUGCUGGUAAAAUAUUUGAAUCUCCAAAAAGGUCAGGGGAUUAUGCCUUAGGUGUUAUGAAUACAGGAGUGGGCAAUAAAUCUGACAACCUAUAUACAACUUCGAUAACGUUGGAACUUGAUGAGGACAUGAGCCAUGUCUACAUUAAAAACAAAGUCCAUAGGGAUUUGCUGCAUGAUGUAGAUACAAAUCAUGGCUGCUCACCUUCUGAGCCACCUUUGCUGAAUGAUUUGGUUAAUGCUAUAGAAACUGGUGGAUUUCCAAAUUCAGAUGAUUUGAGGCAUCCGAUGACUCCAUUUUGUUAUUCUACUCCAGGUUCCCUUCAACAAGGUAUGUAUGCAUCUGGUAGCAGCCCAGAAUCCAUAUUACGGAACUCAGCAAUGACCUUUGAAAAUACACCUUCAAUAAUAAGGAAAAAAGAGUUCCACUAAAGCUGGUAAUGCCAACAUUCCAAAUGUCACCUGCACACCUGAGCGUCGAGUCUCAUCUAGUCUCUAGUCGUGGUGGACGAGAUGUCAAUAGUACAGACUUCCUAAACAUGAAGCAGGGUUUCAGCUCUUUCUUUCAUAGACCUGAGACUUCAGUUGGUUUUGUGUCUCUAGGGAGAUGCCUGGAAUAUGCAUUUGACUUGGAAAAGGAUUCAGUCCCUGCUAAAUGUUGCCAAUUAGUAUCUGCAAGUGCAUCUCAAAAUCCUGAUAUUGGUGCAAAUACAAUGUUGAUACCUUAAAAUGAUUGGAUUGUAAGUGAUUACUUUUUCUUUGGAUUUUUACCCAUUUCUCGGCUAUCAAACUUGAGCCUAAAACCUGUAUUGCAAAGAUGUACUUCCAUUACCAGGGACAGAGUAACUAAGAUCUGAUCACAUUAAAAUUUUCCUAGUUUGUUUCUAUGUACACAACAUCAUCUCAUCAAAUUACAUUCUGUUAGGUAGGGGUGACUGUAUUGUGCACAAUAGAUCUCUUGAUCAAUUGAUGCCUUCGUCUUGUUACCGGCCCUACAUCUGUGUCAAAUUGGAAAUCUGUGUUUCUAGUUGUUCAUCCUAACUUCUGUUCUUAAUGUCCCCUAUGUGAUUAAAUCACAAGAGUUGUACCAUGAAGGUUGAAUAAAAAUUCAAUUAUAAGUUUUUGA